GACGAACGCUGGCGGCGUGCUUAACACAUGCAAGUCGAACGGAAAGGCCUGCUUUCCCUUGUGGAUUGCGGGUACUCGAGUGGCGAACGGGUGAGUAACACGUGAGUGAUCUGCCCCCAACUUGGGUAUAAGCCUGGGAAACUGGGUCUAAUUCCCGAUAGGACUGCAGGGUGGUGCCUGUGGUGGAAAACGAUUUUCUAGUGGUUGGGGAUGAGCUCGCGGCCUAUCAGCUUGUUGGUGGGGUAAUGGCCUACCAAGGCGGCGACGGGUAGCCGGCCUGAGAGGGUGGACGGCCACAUUGGGACUGAGAUCCGGCCCAGACUCCUACGGGCGGCAGCAGUGGGGAAUAUUGCACAAUGGGCGGAAGCCUGAUGCAGCGACGCCGCGUGGGGGAUGACGGCCUUCGGGUUGUAAACUCCUUUCGACCGCGAGGAAGCCACCUGGUUGGAAGGGUGGUGACGGUAGUGGUAGAAGAAGCACCGGCUAACUACGUG
rnacentral:rRNA from 1 species